rnacentral:misc_RNA from 1 species
UCCGGUUUAGACCGGCAGUCUCGCCAGAGUUCCCAACUGAAUGCUGGCAACAUAGGACGGGGGUUGCGCUCGUUGCGGGGCUUAACCCAACAUCUCACGACACGAGCUGACGACAGCCAUGCACCACCUGUGAUGGUGUCCCGAAGGAAAACCGUGUUUCCACGGCGGUCACCAACAUGUCAAGCCCAGGUAAGGUUCUUCGCGUUGCGUCGAAUUAAACCACAUGCUCCACCGCUUGUGCGGGCCCCCGUCAAUUCCUUUGAGUUUCAGCCUUGCGGCCGUACUCCCCAAGCGGAGUGCUUAAUGCGUUAGCUGCAGCACUAAAGGGCGGAAACCCUCUAACACUUAGCACUCAUCGUUUACGGCGUGGACUAC